UUUUUUUUUUCUUGUAAGGAAAUGAUUAUAAACUAUUGAUAUAAACUCCUUAUGCAGAGAUGCCCACUAUGCAGUAAUGAAAUUGCAAUUGUGUUACCUCCAGUUUUAAGGUAAAUAUGUUUGUGUUCUACAUUCUACCAUUCCACAGUGUUUUUUUUUUUGUUUGUUUUUUUAUUAAAAGACUGUAUUCAGAUUUUUGAGAUAGUGUUAUGCUGCUAGAUUGAGAAACCAUAUUUUUGUACACAAUAGACAUUGCGUUAUUGCAACAGUUUGCCAAAAUAUGCUCUGACUUUACUAUUAAUAUUAAGUACUAAAUAUAUUGCACGUGUAAUGGAGAAUAAAUCAAAUAAUUUGUCAUUGGUUAAGUGUACAACACUGUUCUAACAGCUUUGUUUCCUUCCUCCCUCAUAACAUCACUAACCCUGUACAAGAGAUUAUUUUAUUUGACUUUUCUUGGAGGGGGCAGUGAACUGAGGUGAUGUAGUAAGUGGACAUUAAUUUCCAAGUGAAAAUCUGUUGUGCAAGUGAUCCAACUUUUACAGUUUAUCUAAGAUAGCUAAUAAUCCUUACAAAGGUGUAUUUGACUACCUUUUGGGAGUUUUUUUGGUGGCUGUCAAUUUAAUAUCUACAGAUCUUGCAAAUUACCACUUCUUCAAUACUCUUAACUCAUUUAUAAAUGGAGAUUGGUAUCACAGAGCCACUAGUUGCUAAGUUCCUUCGUCUCUUACUUGGAUGGCUUCCAUUUUGAAUGUUCUUCCUCAUCCCAUUACACUUUUCUCUGAUCUUUAAUCUGGAAUUCCAUAAAAGACCACUUUGUUAGGGAAGCAUGGCUAUUUUUUAUUAUUAUUAUUUUUUUUUAUAUAUAAAUUCUUUAUUUUUCAUUGAUAGAGGUUACAUGCGUAUGACAUAGGAACAAAUAAACACAUUUUUUUUUUAUCCAUUGAAGCAUGAAAAAACUGAUACAUAUGCAAAUUUUUUUGCACCUUGACAACCCCUUAUCUAUGUAUGCGUGCUCCUGUCUGGUGCGUUCUAUUGGGGGGUAUCUCCCCUGUCUGUGUUAUUUACAUUCACAGUUUGCCCCUUGUCAACUUUUUUAGUUUUUCUAAGAACAACACAAUGCUUCCCAUCGACUGAUCUAAAGUGGAGUGGUCUGUAAGUUUGAGCGUGAUAUAUACUGGUUCAUGUGUCCCUCUAAUGCUUGCUCUUAUACCAGUAUGCCUUAGUUUCCGCCCCUUGAAUCUGUUAAUCGUAAGAAGCGGGGCAGUAGUUUUGUUAAAUACGUAAAUAGAAGAGAAAAAAAGAAGAUAGGAAACGAGUGGUGGUGGUAGUCCUAAAGGCCGUCGGUGGCUAGAGCUCUUUUUAUUCUUCUUGUGUGCAGGAGGGAAGUUAGGGUCGCAUCCCCUCAACACAGUGGGCUAUCCUCCCAUGGCGCCCAUAUUUGAAGCUUGGCUAUUAACUAGUUACAUUAUUUCCCUGUAAUUCUCCUACCAAAGCUCACUCUAUUUGUUUCAUUACAAAGACUUUUCCACCUAUCCUGCAAUUAACCUGUUAACAAAUCUUGUUUUUGUAUAUUUUGCACUUUUACAUUUUGUGUAUUUAAUUAUUCACUGUUUCUAUUAGACUGUAAACUCAACACUUUGUUCCAGUUACAUGUAUGUUUAAAUGUGUUGUUCUGACUUUUAAUUUAUAAGUAGUAAUCAUUGGGAAUGGGCUUGUGGGGAACUCUUAAGUAUGACUGGUUUCAAAUGCUUUAGAGAAUUUAAAAGAAUGAAGAAAAAAAAUGAAUGACUUUACAUAUGUUUCAAAUGUAUUUUUAAAGUUGACUUUUAAGUGUAUGAAUUCUCUUGGGUAAAGCAGUAAUUUCUCCAUACAAGUCGAAAUCUUAGAACACCAAAAUAACGCUAUAUUGUGUCGGGUUUUUUUUUUUUUUUUACUAAACAAGAUCAGUUUGGUAGGGCCACAAGUAUUAUUUAAGCAUUUUGCUUGAUAAUGGUACUACAUUUUAUAAUGGUUGAUAUCUUUUUAGAAUGUUAUCCAUAUACAUAGUCAGUAAAUAGUAAGCAUCCUGCCAGUCUUUCAAGCAAUCCUAUUUGAGUGAAGGUGGAUACACUGCUUUCAAAGUAUCAAACAUAUUCCCAAAUGUGCAAUGUUUUAUGUAGAUUCUGGACGGGCUAUUAACAUUAAAAUCCAUUUUAUUUAUCUUUUAGUCCCUUGUUGUGCCAGUCUCCCCAUGGCUACCUCUUCUGCCCUUGCUUAGAUCGUUAUUACUGAUGAUCUCAAUCAAUCAAAUGCUUUUCUGUAGGGGGCUGCACUGUGCCAAUCAACAUCUCCUUCUAGAGAUGCAUUACCAGGGGUCCUCAAACUCUGGCCCCCCAGAUGUUACUGAACUACAACUCCCAUGAUUCUCUGGCUAUCUAUGUAAUUCAAAGAAUCAUGGGAGUUGUAGUUCAGUAACAUCUGGGGGGCCAGAAUUUGAGGACCCCUGCAUUAGAUUAAUGCAUCUCUAGAGGGAGUGUUUGUUAUUCUCUGCUGUCAUUAAUUUUAAUUCAUUCCCAAGCAAGGAAAUCUUGUUUUUUGCUGCUAGUACACAAAAAAAGGUAUAUUUUUGUUACUCAGGCUGUGUGUGUGUAUAUAUUUGAGAACAACAAUUUCCCAUGCAACAAAUAUCUUGUGUAAACUAUUUGAUAAACAAGAAAAAUUAAUUACAUUGGACUGUGGGUAUUAAUUUUUCUUAAGCUAUAAAAACAAAUUACUUUAAACUUUCUUCCAUUUCUUCCUAGAACCACUCUCUCUUUUUCAGGAUGGUGCACUGGAUUUUAUUUGUCUACUCUUAGAGGUGCAGGGUAGUGCAUGUGUACAGCAAGCACAUGUGAUGUUUAAAGUGAGCAAACUUAUACCAACUUUAUGAAACCCUGCGAUGCAGCCUGCCUCUAUACGUCCGAUCAACUAUAAUUUGA